rnacentral:lncRNA from 1 species
CUCGAACACAGCUCUGCAGACUCACUUUUCUCAGACAAAAACCUUUUGAAGAGGACACGCUGUGAUUCGAGGUUCCAGGUUUUCAUCCUCCUCUGCCCGAACCGUUCACCGAGAGGCAAUCAUGUGAAAAGUGGUCAGCUCUCAAAGUGGUGAUAAAAGGCCCUAAAUGAGAAAGCAGAUGGAUGGAGACAGGCAGAAGGAGCGCUGCGGUCUGAUUCACACGCAGCAUCUUCUCUAUAAUUGCCUAUGGAAAUCAAAACAUUCCUCAUGUUCCUGCAGAUGAAGCAAAACCCCAAGGGUGAAACCUGCUGUGCUCGACUCCUGCUCGCUCUACCCCUCCAGGCAGCUGAUGAGCUACAAAGUCUCUCACCUCUCUGUGUCGUCAUUGUCCCAGGAGCCGGCUGACAGUGACUGACAGCUCCUGCACUUUUGCUUCUUGUGUGCCACGUCUUCUCCUGGAUGAGUGUGUGGGUUUAAUAUCUUUUUCAGUGAUGCCUCCUGUUCAAACAUCCAGGUAUGUGCUUGUAGCUGCAGGCGUACCCAGAAAAGUAGGUAUAGGAGGAACAUGUAUUAUUAUUUUUGAUUUAAUCACAAAAACAAAAGACCAAAAAUGAAAACCAGACGUGUUAUUCUGCUGGAUUUAAAGACCUAAAAUCAACAUCUUCAGGACCACAUAUUUUAACAUUUUUGAGCAUCUUCCAGAACUCGUAUCUUAUCAAUCAAUCAAUCAAUCAAUCAAUCAAUCAAUCAAUCAAUCAAUCAAUCAGACUUUAUCUGUAUUGUACUUUUCAUACAUUGAGAUGAAGCACAAACUACUUUAAUUUAAUUGUUAAUAAAAAUGAAUGAAUGAAUGAAUGAAUUAAUAAUAAUAAUAAUAAUAAUAAUUAUAAUAAUAAAUUAGCAAUAAUAAUAAUAAUAAUAAUAAUAAUAAUAAUAAUAAUAAUAAAAUAAAUAGAAAUUAAGAAAUUAAAAAAGGAAUAAAAUUAAUAAAUAUAAUAAUAAUAAUAAUAAUAAUAAUAAUAAUAAUUAAAAAAUUGAGCUAUAAAAUAAAUAAUAAUACUGAUAAUAAUAUUAUAUAAUAGUAUUAUAAUAUUAAUAAUAUAUAUAAUGUAAUAUUAAUAAAUAAUAAAGUUAAACAAAUGAAAUAAUAAUUAUAUAUAAAAAUAUUAAUAAAAAAUAAAAAUAAAUGAAUUAAUCAAUAAAUCAAACAAAAUAUGAUUCACAUAAUAAUAAUUUAGAAAACUUAGAAUAAAAAAAUAUGAAAAAUUUACACAUAUAUUACAAAAAAUAAAAAUAAAAAAUAUGUCACUCAGAACCUUAUCUAAUUCUGGACCACAUAUGAAUGUGCCCUAAAUCAGACUUAAUGGGCAGAAAAAAUCUCAUAUUUGGCCACACUUGCCUUCAACCCGAAGAUAAUUAACCCCAAGAAUCCACCUCCAUCUCUAUCUCUUCCUCUCCCAUGAUGCACCUCUGCUCUGGCGUAGGGGGACACCCUCAGCAGAGCCUGGGCUCCAUCACAUACCUGAAGGAUAAAAGUUAAUGACCUUAGCAUCUCAUUUUCUGGGGGGGCCCCGUCUUUGGCUUGUCUCCUCUCAAAAGCACCUUGCAGCUCAAUGGGACAGAACAGACGAGAGGAGUCACUCUGCCGUGGAACGUAUAAUGACAUCUUCCCUUAUAACCCAGAAUGGUUAUUGGCUAUAAAACUGCAAGAGCUCAUCUCAGAGAUCCAUGGUCAAAAAGGAGAUGAUGUGUGUGGUCAGGAGUGAGACAGCUGUCUCCGUCCUUUAGUCUGUCUCUCUCCAUCCUUGUCUUAAAGGCGUUCGAGGAUGAGCCGAGCGCUCCACUCCAACUGCUGCGACUACAUUUGAAACCUUUCACAUCUGCCCCCGCUCUGUUUAUGACUCACUUGUACUCACACCACAGUAUGAAUGCUAAUGUUAACAGCUAGCGUGAUCCUGCCACAGAGCAUUAUGGCGAAGUAUCGAGGGGUUGUAAAUCAGAGCCGCAGAGGCACUCGAAGGAGGCUGAAAUUAAAAAAGCGUUUCCUCCCAUCAGCAUGAGAAGUGAAAGUGUACACCAGGAAACAGAGAAACAGGCGUUCACCGUGUCAGCUCUAAGCUCACACAUCCAGAGCUGUUAGCUGCAGCUACUUUAACCCUGACUGUUCGGUUGGGUGCGGGCCAACGCUUUUAGUCAUCGGCCCGAAUUUUCACCUCACUCCCUCUCUUUCUGUUGUGAGAUAUAGCCUUGGCGGAGCUCCCGAGCUUAAAUGGCUGAUUUGCAGUGGGUUAACUGGAGAAUGGGAGGGUGAAGUCAUAUAUAUUGUGUGUGGGGAGGCUUAGCUGAGUGGUAGAUCAAUUUGGGAGAAUAAAGAAGGAGCCAGAUGGGCCGCUGGAACCCGGUCCAAAGGAGAUGAGGUAAAAAAGCAGUAGAUGAAGAGCCCAGGUAUUUAUCACCCCUGAAGCCUGAAUAUAAAAUGUGUUUGAAUGUAUAUUGGCUGAUUUUAUGAAAAUACCACGACGGAGAAAAACCCCACAGGCUGAUGAAAAUGUUGGACUGUCACCUCCGAGUACAGUCGAUCAAUCACUCGGGUUUUAUUUGCGUAACACUGUUCCUACCAAUUAACGUAACACAAAGUGCUCUCACUGAAUAACCCCGCUGUGUGGACGGAUAAUGAAAUGAAGUGAUAUAUGUGACACUGAUGAAUAAUGGCAGCAUUAAACAAAACAGGAACAGCACAAACUCUGCUGUAAAUGCACCUGCAUCAAACUACACCGAGUCGAGCUGACUAAGGACAUAAUUAAGUGACGCUAAAUCAAGAAUCUGACGCCAACACAAAUUAACAGGAGGGCGGAGAAACCUUAUCGGACUUUGAGCCGGACCAAGAACAAAUUUAGCUUUUAAUAUCAACCACAAAAACACAAAGUAUUUCAAUGGGAGUUUACUCAGUGUAGCACGUGAAAACUGCAGUACCUCAAACGUCCACUUGGGGCUUUCUGCAGAAGAUGUUAAAUCCUCAUUAAGGCCCAUAUUAAAAUGCUUCUUUAUUCAGCAGAAUGAAGCGUGUUUGCAGCUUGGAUCAAGAUAAUUUUUUCUCUCUAUAUCACAAAAUAGUAUGCCACGUUUUUUUUGAAAUGCAGGAUUUUAACUAUACGAAGGUAGGAUGACCAUACAUCCUCUUUUAACCGGACAUGUCCUCUUUUUUUGAGGGCUGUCUGGCCUUGUCUGGCUUUGUUUGGGGCAGUUUAUAAAAUCCUUUAAAUGUCCAGGGUUUUGUAUGGAAGUUUUGAGUUUGUGCACGUGGACUUACUGUGUUAGAAGCAUGUAAAAGAAACCUUGAUCUGACCCGAAAAAAUCUCAAAAUUAACAACUCAUCUGCAGUUCCUUAAGUGUCCACUAGAGGCUGGCUGACUAAAACUAGUUUAGGUCCAAUCAGUUCAUUACUAGUUCAUCAUUCUCUGUUUUGGGGUGAAUUUUACCAAUUAAGGGGAUAUUAUGGCGUAAGACGCAGUUAAAGGAAAUACAAUUCUUCAUGGAAAUACAAUCAGACCGAGACGCUAAGGCAGAAGAACUACCGCGUCUGCAGAGAAAAAUGAUUAAUAUGAAAUGAUAAAGAAAUAAUCAUAAAUGUUCUUCCUUGAGCUGCGGCACCCCGCUGUAGUUUGUAAUGGACUGGCCUGAAGUCUCACUACAAACAAGCGGCUGCUGGAAGAGAGUAGGUGAGUUGUGUUUAGUCUCUUUGCUAAAGGAAUGAGUCAAAGUUAAAAAGAUGUUUGGUGUCUAGUACUAUGUCUGUGACCCUAUAUGUCCUGUUGAUGAAGUUAGGUGCUGUUCUGAGCAUUAUUUGUGGCUAUAGAGUGGCGUUUUGGUUGAGGGCGUGGCUCUCUGUAUUGCUAUCCUGCGGUCGUUACAAAAGUUGGUAUAACUUUACGCUGGAAUAUCCCUUUAAUAAGUUUUGAAGAUUUUUAAGCUUUGCAUAAUUUCACCAUUUUGCUAGCAUGACUAAAAUUUAGGUUGAGUCAGUGUUUCUAGUUUGGCGACCAACAUUGAUGCUACUGUGAAGACCAAUGGGUGACAUUACUGAGGCUUCAUCCAUGUUUAAUACUGUCUGCAAUAAAUGAAGCUUUAAAAUAGUUUUGGUAGGUAACAUCAUCAUUUCUGGAAAUCCUUUCUCCUUAUUUUCUAGUCUUUUCAUCCCCGACUGAGCUGAAAUCUCAAAUUAACCAACACAAGACUGUUUCUAAAAAACAUCUGAAGGUUCGACACUCGUGUUUCUCCAUCUCUAACAAAGUGCUUGAGUAUCUUUCUUGUCGUAGAGCAGGACUUCACUGGAGUGUUGGGAUUUCCUUAUUACUUCCCUUUCAAAUUAAUUUCGUCUCGCACAGAUACGCACAACAGCGAGACAAUAAAAGGGACUAAAAGCCGUUCAUAAGCUGUACAAAUCACAAAUAUUACACCGCACUCAGACGCAUAAAAAAGCCACUAAACACAAAUACAAUUACCGCAAAGUACAUUUUACAAACGCGGCUGAAGGUGAGAGUUAAAAUCCUGGAAAUGUAGUUUAGAAUGAUCCUCAGCGGGGAAUUACAGUAGUCUAAUGGUCUGGUUAGGAAGGUAAGGAUAACAGUUUCCAGAUGUUUGGAGGGAGGAAUGAUCUCAUGCCUUAAAUGUUUCUAAGAUGAUAAUAGCAGGAUGGAAGCGCUGAGUUAUCAUGUCUGUCUAAACCCAGGUUUCGCACGAAUCACUCCAAGAUUUCUGCAGAAAGAAAGACUCAUGCUUUAAAUUUCUAAAAUCCUUUUGCAUGAAAUAAAGGGAAAAAAAAGAUUAUUUUUAUAGGCCAAGCAAAGUAAUCCUCUGUCUCAGAGCUGCAGCAGCAAUAUGUCCUCUUGUUCCAGAGCUAAAAAUCGAUGCACGUCUCUUAACAUGCCUCAAAUCUCCACUUGUUGUGGUAGUAAAUAAGCAACGCACGCAGACGUCUUAUCUGUUUGAUACAAACUCGAUGUAAGAUGUAAGAUGUAGGGGAAACUGCCCAGACCCAUUACACUAAUCACACAUCAGCUUCGGCUGAGAAGGUGAAAUCUCAGGACCUUUAGUUCUGUUCAAUUAAACCGCAGCGGCUCGUAAAACGAAGCAAUCAAACCGAGGAUCGAUGGCGGCUCAGACCUCGUCUCGCCACGCCCAGGCUCACCGCAAUCUGGCCUGUAAAUCAGAGUGUGCGUGUGUGUGUGUGUGUGUGUGUGUGUGUGUGUGUGUGUGUGUGUGUGUGUGUGUGUGUGUGUGUGUGUGUGUUUGGGAGAGGGCGAGGGAAUGAAGCACAGGCCAGAGGCACGAGCCCAGAGUGUCGUCUCUUUCAUUUUCAGACAGGGAGGGAGAGUCAGGCUGAUGGAGAGCUGCAGCUCCAGGGAUGAAGGACAGGCCGACCCUCAGCUUCACGCACACACACACACUCACACACACACACACUCAUUUCCACAUUAACAUUAACCCCGGCACCAUUACCACUGUGAAGUGCUAUUAAGAGGCAGACGCGAGGCCGAGGGGAGCAGAUAUUACCAAACUGUCUCCUCCUCUCAGUCUGCAGCUCAUCUCGCGACUCUCUGACAGACGGGAAGGGAAACCCGCCAUGAUGGACUGAGCGGGGUCGACUUAACGGGCCUGAUUUUAUAGUUUGAUUAUUUAAAGGCAUUUAUAUCACCUUAUUAUACACAGUUUAAUUUAGAUUUGCUUCAGGGAAACAUUUCCACUGAUCCCAAAGGUGUGACAGGAUAAAACACGAAGCAGAAGAAGAAAUAAACGAGGAGAGAAAUGUUCACUUUAAAUAUUAUGUUUGAUGUUUUUUGCAUUUUGUGGAAAAAGUAAAAUGUCAAGAAUAAAAAAACAAAGUUUUGAAGACAAAUCAGAAAAGGAGGUAUUUGACAUUUUCACUUUCUUUUUAACAUUUAAUUCAUUUUUCUUAAACUCAAAGAAAACUCAGGAUGAAUUAAACUUUGCCUGAGAAUAAACUUUUAGAUUUUUAUUUUGACAAAACCCUUACACUGGAUUUCCACUUAUGUAUGACAUCUGUAGAUCCAUAUAAAUAUGUGAUACCUCUAGUGUCCAACGCAAGGAACUGCAUCUCUUUACAGAUGGAUAGAAACUGUGAAUCGACCUGAGAGUAUAAUCUUAAAUCUGGAUUAUUUCACAUCAAAUUGACGAAGAUAAUUUGUGUGUUUAAAACAAAUAAUCAUAUUCUAGCAGAAUAUUGUUACUCUGAUUCACACGCUCUUUUUUUAAUCUUAUGAUCUCACAAAAAAAGCAGCUGCAGGUUUAACGGAGAGUUUUCUUUGCCUUCACUGGGAGAUUAUAUUUGUACCAUUGUUAUUCACCAGGAUUUACACAAAUCCUUCAUUGUUUUGAUUACGCCGGCCCACUCGAAGGUCUAAUAAUACCAAUCUGAAAAUAAGAGCCCAUGAAACAUCCAACAUGUGUAAAUGUUUAGCAGAAUGUAAAUAACCGCUCUAAAAUAAAGGAUAUGACCCGAGCGACUGAGGAGAUUUAGGAAACAUGUUCGGGGAGAGGUUUAGGGGGAGGAAAUGACGAGGACAGGGUCUGUCUGAAGGACGGAGGACUUAGACAUAAUACAGCAAACACCUGAAACCACCUCAGAUUGAAACGCAGAUUUAUGGCGGUGCAGUUUUUGGACUGAUGUCGAAGUUUGACUCUUAAAAACCUGAUAUAAUUACAGUGUUUGGGCUGAGUCAAAUAUUUCGACGUAUAUUUGGAGCAGGUCUGAUCGAUUUUAGCUGCUGUGAGUUAACAAGUUUGUGGCGUUAAAGGGCUCUUAAAAACAGGCGCAGGAGUAAUGACUUUCCCAUCCCCUGGUGUCCGUUACCUGUCACAUUCGGUGUUUUUAUUGUCCAGACGCGUGUCUCAUUUCUUGUUAUUUCUAGGGUUAAAAAAGCAGGAGAGGGAAGAUUCUCAGGAAGAGGAGACGUCAAAAACACUUACCUUCACUGGAGUUAAUAUUUGUGUCUCGCUUUUAGGCGUCGCCGCCCAGCGGGAUGGCGGGGGGGCCCUGCCUGAACUACUUUUUUAUUUAGUUUGAAAACACGUUCAUCAAUCAACCAAGUCUGAACGCGGGGACGAGCCAUUCAGAGACAGCAGGCCUGAGAGUAACCAACACAAACAAACAGAGGCGUACAGAGACGAGUGUGUUUCUCCUGAUCGCACAUAUGAAGGCGGCGGGAAUUCAACAUCACAUUCCCUCGUGUUUUCCUCUUUCAUUAAAUAAAUGAAGCGCACAUGAGCGUCUGAGUCACUUUCCCCGCUCUGUAUACUUUCCCAUCAAUAAACGGGCGUUGUAAUUCACCUGUUUGUUUUUACGUGUUGUAGCUGCUCCAGUCUCGGUGACGGCACACACGGCUGUUUGCUCUGCUUUAAUUCUGAGCUGCUGUCAACAUCAAAGCUGUAAUUAUGCAAUAAACUCUGAGAGUCUCUGCGUCUUCAGCCCGCCGCCGCCGCUGCUGUCAGGUGUGGGACGGUUUGCCUAAAGGUUUGUUGUGUUUGCCGUCUUUGAUUUGGCUGCCGCUGUCCUCCAUGAUCCAGUCAGAAAUGAAGGCGGAUACGCUGACUGUGUGGUAUUUAAGAGGGAUUGCUGGGAGUUGUCGGAGAGCCCGCUCUGGCAGGUUGCUGUUGUAAUUGUCAUGUAAACAUAUUUGCUUUGGUGUUGUAGUCUGUGACGAUAAACAGAGGAGCAUGCACAGAGAGUCUAAUGAAGUUGGUCUGUGUUUGGGGAGUGAAGCACGCUUUUGUUUGGUGAAACUCGGAAACUCCAGGAUCUAAAAUAAAGCAGACGAUGACGUGAUGGAUCUCAACUUAGACUGUGUUUGUUCUACAGAGGCCCUGAGAGGACAAAAAAGUGGCCUCAAAUUGUCUGCAUUUAGGACUUAAGAACAGGCGUUUAUUAUCUUUUCUGGUGUAAUCUUCGUCUCUGAACUUGUUUGUUAUUUUGAGAAAGGUUUUCUCUUCGUGAUAAUCGUGGCCAAAAUAUAUCACAGUAGCAGUAUAAUUUGAGUAUUUCUGGAAAUGUUUUAAAUAAGAGAAAACUGUCAAAUUCUAAUCUGAACUAAUGAACAAAAUUCAUUUAAUUGUUAUCAUGCAUUUCUUAAAAUAUUCAAAUUUGUGUUUUAGCAUCAACCCUGUGACUAACUUUGGAGAAGAUAUUAGCUGUGUCCGAAAUGAAUCACUCAGUCCCUAACCCUCAUAUGGGGUUUCACUAUAUAGCUGACUAUGUAUUGAGCUCAAUCACUGGAGGUUUCGGACACUACAUGCCGCACCGUUGUGACGUCACUGCUCAGACUGAAGUUUUGGCCGUUGUUUUUUUGCAUUUUGCAACGCUCUAUGAGAAAUUUUGAGUCGCCUAUAUGGGGCAUUGGAAUUGAUCACUCAGGUUUCAGACACCCCUCAAAAUGGCACUAACCCCUAUAUAGUCGCCUAUAUAGGGUAUAGGGAUCCAUUUUGGACACAAAAUUGAAAAUUUACCUUACUUUAAUGUAGCCAUCAUUGUCAAACUAUGCUUUUAUUUUGAAGUACUGACUUCAAAAUAAAGUAUACAGCUUCUUAAACAUUAGUUUUGAAAGCCUCUAGCUCACUCGCAGUCUGCUACUUCUUCUUCGUCUAUCCUCCAUUUCUAUAGCACUCAUUCAGUUUUGUACUUUUAUUCCAUGAAGUUUAUUGUCUAUUACAAAAAGUUUUUUAAACCUUGAUUGAAGCCAAAAUGAAGCUGAAACCUCCAAAUGUGGAAAUUAGGAAACUUGCAGUUCUUUGAGGAGCCUCUAGGGGGUCACUCCAAAAGUGAGUCGAUCCCCAAAAUGUUGCAAAUUGAAAUUCCCACCUUUACAGCUGGCGUUAACUGGCUGUUGGCCAGUGUUAGGGUUACCCAGCAUGUUUGUUUGGACGUUGGUUUCACAUAGAUUAACUGUUCAUGUUGAUGAAAGUCAAGGUUGUUGUCGGACUUUCUUCACCUGAUGAUUGGUUGAUGAAGGCCUUGGUGUGUCAUUUACAGCCUCUAUCUGUUUCUGUAGCUUUAAUUCAUUUAUAACUUUAUCUCAUUUACCGUUUUAAUCGUCAUAUCUCAGCCUUAAACUUCUAUCUCCUUCUUUUUACGCUC